rnacentral:antisense_RNA from 1 species
GUGGGAGCAAGGCUUGCCCGCGAGGCGGUGGCGCAUUUGACAGAGAUGUGUCAGACAGAUCGCUAUCGCGGGCAAGCCUUGCUCCCAC